rnacentral:rRNA from 1 species
CCUACGGGUGGCAGCAGUGAGGAAUAUUGGUCAAUGGUCGGGAGACUGAACCAGCCAAGCCGCGUGAGGGAUGAAGGUACAGAGUAUCGUAAACCUCUUUUGUCAGGGAACAAAGUCGGGGACGUGUCCCCGGAUGAGUGUACCUGAAGAAAAAGCAUCGGCUAACUCCGUGCCAGCAGCCGCGGUAAUACGGAGGAUGCGAGCGUUAUCCGGCUUUAUUGGGUUUAAAGGGUGCGCAGGCGGUCUGUUACGUCCGCGGUAAAAGCCCGGGGCUCAACCCCGGCCCGCCGUUGAAACUGGCAGUCUCGAGUUGGAGAGAAGUAUGCGGAAUGCGCGGUGUAGCGGUGAAAUGCAUAGAUAUCGCGCAGAACUCCGAUUGCGAAGGCAGCAUGCCGGCUCCACACUGACGCUGAGGCACGAAAGCGUGGGUAUCGAACAGGAUUAGAUACCCUUGUAGUC